rnacentral:lncRNA from 1 species
AACUUUAGUUAGUAGCUGGUCUCAGUCAGUAACACUCUGGGAGGGCUCAGGCCACAUCACCAAAUGUGCCAGGAUAGCCUUGAACUCAUCAAUUGCUGGGUAAGACAAAGAAUUUUAAUGCAAUGGCAAACAGCCAAUCAAACAAGCAAACAAAAACAACAAACCCUUCCUUGAGGACCAAGAAGCCAUUAAUUAGAUAACCUAAGAGCUCCAGGUGGAGACCUAGGUCCUGAUGGGGUUUCUGAAUUUGACCACUGGGCAGAAAACUAGCACCCAAAACCAGUUAGAAUAAAAUUGCCUACCUUCAGUGGAGCCAAGGCCCCCAGAUCCUUUUUGUCAGGGGCACCUCAAACUCAACUCCAAAAUUGAUCUAAUGAAUUUUCCCAAACCACAUUCCCUUCUUGCAUUUCUAAGAGAAUGGAUUCCCAUUCAUCUGACUACAGUGCUAUCCUGAAAGGAGAUCCGGAGACUAAGAUUCACCUGAGAUCCGGAGACUAAGAUUCACCUGCAGGUGAUUCAUUUG